rnacentral:SRP_RNA from 1 species
GCUGGGUGUGGUGUUGCGCGCCUGUAAUCCCAGCUACUCAGGAGGCUGAGGCAGGAGAAUUGCUUGAACCCAGGAGGCGGAGGUUGCAGUGAGCUGAGCUCGUGCCACUGCACCCCAGCCUGGGCGACAGAGCAAGACUUUGUCUUUA